rnacentral:lncRNA from 1 species
GUAUUGCAAUACAACAUAAACAACCAAAGCUAAAACGGGGAACUAUUGCAACACACUUUGGUUUUAUUAUUUUUUUUAUAGCUAGCGAGAUACAGUUGCUUUCACGAAAUGUGUUCGACUGCUAAGCUAGCCGACUGGCUAAACUAAGUAGCUAGCAAGUUAGCUCAGCUCGGUUCCGGCCUAAAAUAGCUAACGUUAGCUCCAUUUUCAGAUUUCGGGAAAACCACAAUUCAAGUGUACAUUACCACGUAUGCAGAUGUUCAUCUAACGAAACCAAGGGAAAGCUGAUGGAACGUUAGUCCAACUGAGUCACCAAUUCUCGUCAUGCAAUGGUGAGUAAUCACUUUGUACACUGUGCACUAAUAAAAGGAUCAGCGUAUCAGUAAACAUCAGGGUGUGUCUUGAAACGUCUGUAGAGGCGUGCCUGUGUUGUACCAGGAUUAUCUGCAUUGAAUGAGGGUAGUGAUUACUAAUAUAAUGUAGGUAGAGGAACUGUAGGCCUAAUGUUGGCCCAUCCAAGAAUUAUAGAAACACAUUAUUUGGUAUGAGAAACACUUAAAUUACUGUAUUAUGAAGGAAAAAAUAAAGUGGAACUGUAGUGAUUUUUUUAUUUAUUUAUUUGUGUUUUCUAAGGGG